rnacentral:miRNA from 1 species
AUGUAUAUAUAGGUAAUCGGGUGUGCGGGUUGUGAUAAGGCGGACUUCCACCUUAUCACAACCCACACACCCGAUUACCUAUA